rnacentral:rRNA from 1 species
AAUGACUCAUCACCUGGUGUUCCCGAGCGGUCUCCCACCUCAGUACUAGCCAAGCCUUACAGUGCUUAACUUCAGAGUUCUGAUGGGAUCUGGUGUGGCCACUGUAGUAUGAACGAGUC